GGGACAGUUGUCAAAAUUUAUCCGAACCUCUUGUGGUAUAUAAUUAAAUAAGGUAAGACAAAAGAAGCAUCAUGGUUUUUCUGCCAUGUUAGGGUGGGGCUCAAGUAUGAUGAUGUAUCAAAAUAUCAUGCUUAAGCUAUACCCAUGUUAAAGGACAUUAUCCCUGAAGUAUUCUAUCAUUUUUGGAUAGUUUGUUGAGUUAAUUAUUCCAACCCCCCCCUCCCCACAAACAAAACUCAACUCAACUCAACUAAG
rnacentral:misc_RNA from 1 species